rnacentral:rRNA from 1 species
UAGGGAAUCUUCGGCAAUGGGGGCAACCCUGACCGAGCAACGCCGCGUGAGUGAAGAAGGUUUUCGGAUCGUAAAGCUCUGUUGUAAGUCAAGAACGAGUGUGAGAGUGGAAAGUUCACACUGUGACGGUAGCUUACCAGAAAGGGACGGCUAACUACGUGCCAGCAGCCGCGGUAAUACGUAGGUCCCGAGCGUUAUCCGGAUUUAUUGGGCGUAAAGCGAGCGCAGGCGGUUAGAUAAGUCUGAAGUUAAAGGCUGUGGCUUAACCAUAAUACGCUUUGGAAACUGUUUAACUUGAGUGCAGAAGGGGAGAGUGGAAUUCCAUGUGUAGCGGUGAAAUGCGUAGAUAUAUGGAGGAACACCGGUGGCGAAAGCGGCUCUCUGGUCUGUAACUGACGCUGAGGCUCGAAAGCGUGGGGAGCAAACAGGAUUAGAUACCCUGGUAGUCCACGCCGUAACGAUGAGUGCUAGGUGUUGGGUCCUUUCCGGGACUCAGUGCCGCAGCUAACGCAUUAAGCACUCCGCCUGGGGAGUACGACCGCAAGGUU